ACUGGGAGGGAACUGGGAGCGCUUUCCCUCCCGGCACCGCUCUGACUGGGAGCACUGGGAGGGAACUGGGAGCGCUUUCCCUCCCGGCACCGCUCUGACUGGGAGCACUGGGAGGGAACUGGGAGCAAACAGCGCCCGGACGCGGCUGCAGCCGGCGGGGGGCGGGGGCAAGGCGAAGGGCGUGGUUAUGCAAAUCGUGGAGCGAUCGCGCGCUGGGAUUGGUGGGCGGGAGCAGCGCGGGGUUUACUCGGUCACGUGAGACCCGGGGGUGGCCGGAGCGAUGGCGGCGGCGUCCGGGACGCUGAACUGGGCAGCGGGGACGGCGGAACAGAGGAAUAACACUGGACCGAGUGGGACACCGACUGCGGGCCGACACCGAACAGGGUGACACCGGGACGGGGAUGAUCCCGGGACACGGGGGUGACACCGAGCAGCCGGGAAACGGACCAGCGGGGGACACCGGAGCGAGGUGACACCGGCGGGUGUUCCUAGAGACCGAGUGGCUCCCGAGCCACGGCACCGGGUACAGCACGGCCGAGGCGGCUCCAGCGCCGGUGCCAGUAGCAGAGGAGGAGCUGCGGCGCCGCCUCAAGUAAUUCCUCAUGAACCCCUGUGACAAGUAGCGGGCCCGCAUGUUGUGGUGCUUUGAAUCCAUGUUUGCCCACUGUUCUCCCUAAUCCCCUCACUUUCCCAGUUACCAAUUUUCUCAAGCCCUUCCCUAACCUCCUCCCUUCCAAGCUGUUAAUCCUCCCUGUCCCUUUCUCCAGAGAGUUCUGUGUCUGUCUUGUUGCCCUCGACACCCCAUUUGUUACUUCGUAUUAUUCCCCCCCACUCCUUUUUCUCUAAUACGCUCAUAAGCUAUUUGCCUCACCCUGUACUCCUCUCUUGCCAUAUCCUCAUUGGUUCACUUUCCUGCACCCCUCCUCCUGAGCUGCUGUAUAAAAACUUGUGUUCACCCCUCCCCCAAUCUUGUCUGGGAGCUCAGGAAUAAAUCCAUCUUGUUCUACUCCAA